rnacentral:lncRNA from 1 species
GUGCAGCUUUUUCAAUUGAAAUUCUCGCGUCUGCUCUGUUCUGCUCUGCUGCAUUUGUUGGGAACAUGGACAGGAUACUCUCCCCUUGUGUUGGCCCUGCUGAAAAUGGUCUUCCUAUUCCACACAGGUGAUGGGAGGAAGAAGACUGGGAACAUAUUCCAAAGAGGCCACCUGCGCCAAAAGCGGGCAACCACGCCUGGCUGGCAAAGCCCUGAGGCAAGUAUUCCUCUACCACUUACAACUAAUUAGAAGUUGUGAUGUGCAUGUGAAAAGCUUCUGCCAUAAGAAAAUAAGAGAGAUUGCAUGCUUGCCAGUUGGCUGUGUCAUGUUAACCCUAAAUAACAGUCUACGUUCCCCAUUUCUUGACCUUCAUAGGAAUGGGAGAGAGGCAGGCGCUCGAGCAGCAGCUGGAGCACAAGCACAAGGAUGUGAGGUCUGCGAUUUUGUGGCAAUUGAUGAUGGGCUGUAUGACAUUGGAAUGAAUCAAAGCGGCAAGUUGGUUUCUCAUAGACUUCUUUCCUCAGGAGUUUUCAACUGGCUCCAAUUUUAGAUGCCAAAUUGCUCGCGCCGCAUCUGUGAGGAACAAUGAUGUUGAAUAUGUGCAUCAACAGCAGUGGCAGAGGAGCUCCAUGCAUUGACUUUCUUUUCAUGUUUGGGCAUCCCAUUUUUUGUGCAACUUGUUUUUUUGGCAUCAUUAGUACAGGAGCAGCUGCGCAUGCAUCAUGCAUGCAUUAGAACAGCGGUACUUUCAGGAAUGUUUUUGUGAUCGCAUGUGCUACAGUUGAACAUGCAGGAUAUGUUGCGCAACUUGCAUGCUGUUCGGCUUAUAGAAUGGCAACAGUGUGAUCGCAUGU